UCUUUCAUGUACUUAUGUGGAUACUGUGUAAUUCUUUCUUUAUCAUCUCCAUUUUAUUGAAAAAUUAUAUUGAAACUACACAAUACUACUUCAUCAGUGUGUGAAACAGAUAUAUGUACCAUAUAAAGAUUAAUUUGUCAGGCAAAUUGUAUUCCAUUUCUGUUGAAAGUUUUGCCCAAGCAGUAAAGAUUCCUAUAUCCAUUCAAAAUUCAAUAAAGGGGUUAAGAUUCUGUCAUGUUGAGUCUGCAUAAUUAAGUACUGCAAAAUUUAUAUAUUUGGGCAUGAUGACAUGAGUGCAUGAUGCAAAAUAUUGUGUUGCUGCUCUGGUCCCAGCCUCUCCUUGUGGCCUUGACUUCCUUCCAGGCCUGGUGUCCACUGCAGAGGAGAAGAAGAAGCCUCUGAACCCUACAGCUCUCUUGUCACCACGACCAGUGUCAUCACUGCCACUGAUGAAGCUGAAGUGUAGUCUUGCUACUCAGGAACCUGACAUGGCUGUGGAAGAAAUAAUUUAUUGCCUCUGAAAGUGUUAGUAACAUGGUUCAGUGACAGCCAAUUGAAAAUUGUAUGAAAUACAAAAAUGAGAGCAGUUGUGUGUGAUCCAAUUAUUUUGUGCUCCUAAUCAGUGUGUUAUGUGUCAGCCUCCUAAACAAUAUUCAAACAGUGGCUGCUGUCAUAAGCAAUUUGAAAAUAUAAUUGCAUCAGCAGGCUCUUAUGACACAUGAUAUCCUGAACUAUACUACAGUGAAUUGUUGAACCUAUGAUUAAUAGGCAAUUAUACUGAAAGUACUCUUGUAAUUAGCUAUCUAUAGAUUCCAGUUAUUGUCCGGAUGGAGAAAUAAUUUAUUUUGUGUACGAGACUGUGGACAAACCUAAUCUAAACCUAUUGUGAUAACUUGUGCUUACUGCUGUUCCUGCAUUGAAGCUCUUCAGCUCUAAGGCAGUGCAGAUGCCACCACCAAGGGUGCCAACUACACCCUUCCUUAUAUGUUCAAGAUGUAACCAAAAAGUAUCCCAGACAUAUUGUUAUAAUAGUGAACUUUCUGCAGUGGUGAAGUAAUCCCCUUUCCAUUUCAUCCCCACAUUCCAAUGGUUAUUUCAUUGUUCAAGAGCACUUCAAGAAAUCCAUCAUCAUUAUCAAGAUUAUGCUUGUGUUGCAGACUAGAAAAUAGAGUUGCUGCACUGCUUGAAUUCAUUGCUUGUUUUGGCAAUGUUUGGAUGCUGAAUCAAAUGCACGAAUUUAUUGUUGUAGUGCAGCUGUCUGUUAACUUCAUUAAGGAUAUCCCAUUAAAUAUAUGAAUAAUAAUGUUCAUUGAGUGCUUAGUUAUUCUCGGCAAGUUAUUCGCUGUUAUCACAAAACAGAGUGGUGGUGCAGUAUAGGAAACCUCACUUGAGAGCAUGAGUCUAUAUCCAUCAACUCUGCCAGUUCUACAGUGUAAUCAAACAUGAAUUCAACAAUUAUGACAGUCUCAACUCUGCAGCCUUUGCUAAUCUAUUUUUUUAUGUAUCACAAGAGCAUAUGCAAGGGAAAAGACUGUGUAAGUUUCAAAUCCCGAGCCAGUGUAGAAAUUAUUCUUGAUAUUAAGAAGAAAUUUUUUAAGAGAUAUUUGAGUAAUGGAAAAUCUACUGAAAUAAUUGCUUUAAGUGUCUCAUUUCAAAGGGGAAUUGAUUUGCCACAUGGUAAGCCCAUUAUCCUUAAAAUUCUAAGUCUUGAUGCUAUCUGGUCACAUCUCAGCAUAUAUGAAGCCACACACAUUCUCUAAACAGAACUUGUAUUACCAGUGCAAGGAAGAUGAAGUAUGCCAUAUGUUUCACAGGAAAGUGAUUUGAUUUGAAAGGCUUUUAAAGGGUUGUGGAAUAGCCAUUAGUGUUGAUGUGGAUAUCCAUCUGCCACUGACUUUCAUUCAUCGAGCUUCCACACGAAGGAAACACAAUGGGUCUGGCCCAGUCACAGCUACAGGCAAUCCUGACACUGGGCAGAGGGGGAGCAUACAAAACUCCACCCUACAUGUUUUAAAAAGUUAGAAUGUGUGAAAGUAAAGGAAAUAAUGUUGGGCUUUCAUGAUAUUGUAAGUGAAGGUAUUUUUAUAUAAAGUAUUCAAAUUUAUUAAAGAUGUGUGACAUCAGGGAGUGUAAAUAUAUUAGUUAUAAUUCCAGUGAAAUUAAUAA